rnacentral:rRNA from 1 species
UACGGGGGGGGCAAGCGUUGUUCGGAAUUACUGGGCGUAAAGGGCUCGUAGGCGGACUGUCACGUCUGCUGUGAAAAGCUGGGGCUUAACCCUGGCCUUGCAGUGGAUACGGGCAGACUAGAGGUAGGUAGGGGAGAAUGGAAUUCCCGGUGUAGCGGUGAAAUGCGCAGAUAUCGGGAGGAACACCGGUGGCGAAGGCGGUUCUCUGGGCCUUACCUGACGCUGAGGAGCGAAAGCGUGGGGAGCGAACAGG